GUCUUUGGCAAAUCUUGACAAUUUGACCUCAGAUCGAGUGGGACUACCCGCUGAACUUAAGCAUAUCAAUAAGCGGAGGAAAAGAAACUAACAAGGAUUCCCCUAGUAACGGCGAGUGAAGAGGGAAAAGCUCAAAUUUUGAAUCUGGUGCCUUUGGCAUCCGAGUUGUAAUCUAGAGAAGUGUUUUCUGCCUUGGACCRCACAUAAAUUCCCUGGAAUGGGGUGUCAUAGAGGGUGAGAAUCCCGUUUGUGGUGUGGACUACCUUGGCUCUGUGAUACACUCUCAACGAGUCGAGUUGUUUGGGAAUGCAGCUCAAAAUGGGUGGUAAAUUCCAUCUAAAGCUAAAUAUUGGCGAGAGACCGAUAGCGAACAAGUACCGUGAGGGAAAGAUGAAAAGCACUUUGGAAAGAGAGUGAAACAGUACGUGAAAUUGUUGAAAGGGAAGCGUUUGAAGUCAGUCACAUUGGUCAGAAUCAGCCUGGCUUAUGCCUGGUGUACUUCUGGCAAAUGGGUCCGCGUCAUUUUGACC
rnacentral:rRNA from 1 species